GGUCUUCUGAUGCUGACGAGUGGGGAACGGGUGAGUAAUACAUCGGAACGUGCCCGAUCGUGGGGGAUAACGGAGCGAAAGCUUUGCUAAUACCGCAGACGAUCUACGGAUGAAGGCGGGGGAUCUUCGGACCUCUCGCGGACGGAGCGGCCGAUGGCAGAUUAAGUAGUUGGUGGGAUAAAAGCUUACCAAGCCGACCAUCUGUAGCUGGUCUGACAGGAUGAUCAGCCACACUGGGACUGACACACGGCCCAGACUCCUACCGGAGGCAGCAGUGGGGAAUUUUGGACAAUGGGGGCAACCCUGAUCCAGCCAUGCCGCGUGCAUGAUGAAUGACUUCCGGUUGUAAACUGCUUUUGUUCGGAACGAACAAACUCUGGUUAUACCUGGCGU
rnacentral:rRNA from 1 species